UACAGAGGGUGCGAGCGUUAAUCGGAAUUACUGGGCGUAAAGCGUGCGCAGGCGGUUCGUUGUGUCUGAUGUGAAAGCCCCGGGCUCAACCUGGGAAUGGCAUUGGAAACUGGCGAGCUAGAGUGUGGCAGAGGGGGGUGGAAUUCCGCGUGUAGCAGUGAAAUGCGUAGAGAUGCGGAGGAACACCGAUGGCGAAGGCAGCCCCCUGGGCUGACACUGACGCUCAGGCACGAAAGCGUGGGGAGCAAACAGG
rnacentral:rRNA from 1 species